AAACCGACACAGGUGGUCAGGUAGAGAAUACUAAGGCGUACGAGAUAACUAUGGUUAAGGAACUCGGCAAAAUACCCCCGUAACUUCGGGAGAAGGGGGACCUCGCUUGGUGACCGGACUUGCUCCGUGAGCUGAACGAGGUCGCAGAGACCAGUGAGAAGCGACUGUUUACUAAAAACACAGGUCCGUGCGAAGUCGCAAGACGAUGUAUACGGACUGACGCCUGCCCGGUGCUGGAAGGUUAAGAGGACCCGUUAACCCUUGGGUGAAGCGGAGAAUUUAAGCCCCAGUAAACGGCGGUGGUAACUAUAACCAUCCUAAGGUAGCGAAAUUCCUUGUCGGGUAAGUUCCGACCUGCACGAAUGGCGUAACGACUUCUCAACUGCCUCAACCAUAGACUCGGCGAAAUUGCACUACGAGUAAAGAUGCUCGUUACGCGCGGCAGGACGAAAAGACCCCGGGACCUUCACUAUAGCUUGGUAUUGGCGUUUGGUUCGGUUUGUGUAGGAUAGGUGGGAGACUGUGAAGCAGGCACGCCAGUGUUUGUGGAGUCAUCGUUGAAAUACCACUCUGAUCGUAUUGAACCUCUAACCUCGGACCGUAUAUCCGGUCCAGGGACAGUGCCUGGUGGGUAGUUUUAACUGGGGCGG
rnacentral:rRNA from 1 species